rnacentral:tRNA from 1 species
CGGGGCGUAGCGCAGUCUGGUUAGCGCACCUGAAUGGGGUUCAGGGGGUCGGAGGUUCAAAUCCUCUCGCCCCGA